rnacentral:rRNA from 1 species
ACUCCUACGGGAGGCAGCAGUGGGGAAUCUUGGACAAUGGGCGCAAGCCUGAUCCAGCCAUGCCGCGUGAGUGAUGAAGGCCCUAGGGUCGUAAAGCUCUUUCGCCUGUGAUGAUAAUGACAGUAGCAGGUAAAGAAACCCCGGCUAACUCCGUGCCAGCAGCCGCGGUAAUACGGAGGGGGGUUAGCGUUGUUCGGAAUUACUGGGGCGUAAAGCGCGCGUAGGCGGACUAUUAAGUCAGAGGUGAAAUCCCGGGGCUCAACCCCGGAACUGCCUUUGAUACUGGUAGUCUAGAGUUCGAGAGAGGUGAGUGGAAUUCCGAGUGUAGAGGUGAAAUUCGUAGAUAUUCGGAGGAACACCAGUGGCGAAGGCGGCUCACUGGCUCGAUACUGACGCUGAGGUGCGAAAGU